CUGAGAGGGUGACCGGCCACAUUGGGACUCAGACACGGCCCAAACUCCUACGGGAGGCAGCAGUGGGGAAUAUUGCACAAUGGGGGAAACCCUGAUGCAGCGACGCCGCGUGAGCGAAGAAGUAUUUCGGUAUUAAAGCUCUAUCAGCAGGGAAGAAUAAUGACGGUACCUGACUAAGAAGCACCGGCUAAAUACGUGCCAGCAGC
rnacentral:rRNA from 1 species